rnacentral:rRNA from 1 species
GAUGAACGCUGGCGGCGUGCUUAACACAUGCAAGUCGAACGGAAAGGCCCUGCUUGCAGGGUACUCGAGUGGCGAACGGGUGAGUAACACGUGGGUGAUCUGCCCUGUACUUUGGGAUAAGCCUGGGAAACUGGGUCUAAUACCGAAUAUGACAAUUGUUUGGAUGCGAUUAUGGAAAGCUUUUGCGGUAUGGGAUGAGCUCGCGGCCUAUCAGCUUGUUGGUGGGGUAAUGGCCUACCAAGGCGUCGACGGGUAGCCGGCCUGAGAGGGUGUACGGCCACAUUGGGACUGAGAUACGGCCCAGACUCCUACGGGAGGCAGCAGUGGGGAAUAUUGCACAAUGGGCGCAAGCCUGAUGCAGCGACGCCGCGUGGGGGAUGACGGCCUUCGGGUUGUAAACUCCUUUCGCAACCGACGAAGCCUUUUGGUGACGGUAGGUUGAGAAGAAGCACCGGCUAACUACGUG